rnacentral:rRNA from 1 species
UACGUAGGGUGCAAGCGUUUAUCCGGAAUUAUUGGGCGUAAAGAGCUCGUAGGCGGUUUGUCGCGUCUGCUGUGAAAACCCGAGGCUCAACCUCGGGCCUGCAGUGGGUACGGGCAGACUAGAGUGCGGUAGGGGAGAUUGGAAUUCCUGGUGUAGCGGUGAAAUGCGCAGAUAUCAGGAGGAACACCGGUGGCGAAGGCGGGUCUCUGGGCCGAUACUGACGCUGGAGGAGCGAAAGCGUGGGGAGCGAACAGG